ACCUGAAACGUUGAAGUGAAUAUAUAGCUCCGUUUUGUGGAUCUCCACUGAAUCAGAGAAGUGGAUUUAGAUGAACGAGGGAUGAAUACGCGAAAACAUGGAUUCUGCCAUUACACCACAAACGCCGGCAUUUCCCGUCGUAUCAUCCUGGGAUCUGAUUGCAUCAAAGUGACCAAUCUUCUUUUGGAAAAAUCAAUUGUUAAUGAUGAAAUCUGCUGCUGGGUCUAUAAUUUUUCUUCGCUGCAAACUAGUUUUGAUUCUUGUGUAUUUACUUUUGUUCAUCGUUCUUGUAAUUUGCUUGUUGAUGCCAUCACUAAAUAUGCAAAGGUUGAGAGAGAAAUUGUGUUUGGUUUUACUUCAUACUGCUGUGAAGGAAUUUAUCCCUAUUUUACUCGCUGAGGCUUUUGAAUAAUUUGAGGUAAAGGUUCCAAAAUUUUCAAUUUCAUCUGCAAA